rnacentral:rRNA from 1 species
AUGGAAGAUCAAGAACUAGUAGUGGCACAGAGCAAGAUAAAUGAGGUUCCUGCAAGACAAACAGAGGUCAAUGUGUGGAUCCCCUGGCCCGCUGGCUGGACGAAGAUCAACGUGGACACUGGACAGAGUCUUGGGAGCUUCUUCUGUUAUUUUCAGGGGGAUUUCAGAUGCAAAAACGGUGUAGUUGUUGCGAUCAGGGAGGCUCUCUCGUUGGCGGACGAUUUGCUUAUUCGAAGAGCUAAGGUAGCCCAUGAUUCUCCCAGGGUGACCAAUAUCCUGUGUGAAGACUCCAGAGCAGUUUAUUACCACAUCACCGACGAGAUCAAGGCUAAAGGUGCGAAACAGGAUGGCAUUGUUUUUUGCCAUGAGAAUCGCGGCUCAAAAAUUGAAGCUCAUAGGCUUGCUUGA